rnacentral:sRNA from 1 species
GGCUCUGUAAAUCUCUCACACGCUAGCAAUGUAACACAGAGGGACCAAAGAGAGUGGUUGAUUGGGUUCGUAUGAGAAAUGGUUCAAAAUCCAUCUCUGUUUGCGUAACAUCCCUUUUCGACUCUCUACCACCAAGAUUGGAUUUUUCACCCUCCAGCUUUCACAAUGAGUGCAGGUGGUGCUUUUGGUGGUAAUAGAGGGCUGAGCCCAGUUCCUCCAGAGAAAGGUGUCUUCCCCUUGGAUCGUAUGCAUUUGUGUGACCUGGACAUGACACAGAACCAAGCGCAAUGACGUUCUAGGAUUCAUAUAGCCGACCCCACUUAGUGGGAAAAGGCUUUGUUGUUGUUCUUUGUGCUGCUGGAAGUUCUUAGUUCCUUGGCUUUAUUACAGGAGAAAAAAAAAUGCCUCAGUUGCCUCAAAACUUCGGGCCACCAAUCUGAAAAAUGUAGGCUCUUCUCUAAAAUGUACCUGGAAUGCCAAAUGGAAAAGAACUUGAUGGAAACAAGACAUGUCAGAACUUGGAUUUGUUAAGGAAGGUAACUCGGACGCUUCUGGAGAGAAGGUUUCCAAGCGGAUUGCUAAUUAGAUCGGAUGAUAACUUUUGAGACGAUAGUAGUUGGGAGAUUUUUACUGAUAGGGCUAAUACGAUCGACACUGAAUUUUGGUCAUGGAAGAACUACUUGUAAAGGAUCGAAAAACAUUAGUGUUUUGGGUUCUUCAAAAGAUGUUAAUGAUUGUUUAUCCUAGCCUUGCAGUCGGGUUUCCCAA